UUGAACGCUGGCGGCAGGCCUAACACAUGCAAGUCGAGCGGUAGCACAGAGAGCUUGCUCUCGGGUGACGAGCGGCGGACGGGUGAGUAAUGUCUGGGAAACUGCCUGAUGGAGGGGGAUAACUACUGGAAACGGUAGCUAAUACCGCAUAACGUCGCAAGACCAAAGUGGGGGACCUUCGGGCCUCAUGCCAUCAGAUGUGCCCAGAUGGGAUUAGCUAGUAGGUGGGGUAACGGCUCACCUAGGCGACGAUCCCUAGCUGGUCUGAGAGGAUGACCAGCCACACUGGAACUGAGACACGGUCCAGACUCCUACGGGAGGCAGCAGUGGGGAAUAUUGCACAAUGGGCGCAAGCCUGAUGCAGCCAUGCCGCGUGUGUGAAGAAGGCCUUCGGGUUGUAAAGCACUUUCAGCGGGGAGGAAGGCGAUAAGGUUAAUAACCUUGUCGAUUGACGUUACCCGCAGAAGAAGCACCGGCUAACUCCGUGCCAGCAGCCGCGGUAAUACGGAGGGUGCAAGCGUUAAUCGGAAUUACUGGGCGUAAAGCGCACGCAGGCGGUCUGUCAAGUCGGAUGUGAAAUCCCCGGGCUCAACCUGGGAACUGCAUUCGAAACUGGCAGGCUAGAGUCUUGUAGAGGGGGGUAGAAUUCCAGGUGUAGCGGUGAAAUGCGUAGAGAUCUGGAGGAAUACCGGUGGCGAAGGCGGCCCCCUGGACAAAGACUGACGCUCAGGUGCGAAAGCGUGGGGAGCAAACAGGAUUAGAUACCCUGGUAGUCCACGCCGUAAACGAUGUCGAUUUGGAGGUUGUGCCCUUGAGGCGUGGCUUCCGGAGCUAACGCGUUAAAUCGACCGCCUGGGGAGUACGGCCGCAAGGUUAAAACUCAAAUGAAUUGACGGGGGCCCGCACAAGCGGUGGAGCAUGUGGUUUAAUUCGAUGCAACGCGAAGAACCUUACCUGGUCUUGACAUCCACAGAACUUCACAGAGAUGGAUUGGUGCCUACGGGAACUAUGAGACAGGUGCUGCAUGGCUGUCGUCAGCUCGUGUUGUGAAAUGUUGGGUUAAGUCCCGCAACGAGCGCAACCCUUAUCCUUUGUUGCCAGCGGUUAGGCCGGGAACUCAAAGGAGACUGCCAGUGAUAAACUGGAGGAAGGUGGGGAUGACGUCAAGUCAUCAUGGCCCUUACGACCAGGGCUACACACGUGCUACAAUGGCAUAUACAAAGAGAAGCGACCUCGCGAGAGCAAGCGGACCUCAUAAAGUAUGUCGUAGUCCGGAUUGGAGUCUGCAACUCGACUCCAUGAAGUCGGAAUCGCUAGUAAUCGUAGAUCAGAAUGCUACGGUGAAUACGUUCCCGGGCCUUGUACACACCGCCCGUCACACCAUGGGAGUGGGUUGCAAAAGAAGUAGGUAGCUUAACCUUCGGGAGGGCGCUUACCACUUUGUGAUUCAUGACUGGGGUG
rnacentral:rRNA from 1 species